rnacentral:lncRNA from 1 species
AUAUCUUGUGGUUGUAAAAAAAAAGACCUGUUCGUCAUAACUAAUAAUCAUCUGGUGUGGCCAGGUUCGAUGCGCGUCGAUGUUUGCCGACAUUCACCCACGCCACCACAUGUUUCUUCAAAGUGUUGUCUGCCUUGUUCCGCAGCUGCCCUCCGAUUACAAGUUUUUGUUGUCUUUUGGUAACUUGUAACCGGUACAACAUUUUUAUGCAUGUAUAUUUAGUUUGAAACUUGAAAAUAACAUUUCCUUAUAAUGAUCCAAGGGGGAGUGAAUCAUUAUGGUAACAUUUCAUUCUCUUCAUCGAUGUUUUGUUGCAUAUAACCGUUUCACAGUUGGUACAAAACAUAGCAAAUCCGAGGGUCUGGCGAAUGGGAUGAGGGGAAGGCGUGGGCAUUGACUGGGGUGGUUGGGCAGUAGUGGUCCCAUCAAACAGGACAACGUUUAGAGGAUGGGUUCG